rnacentral:lncRNA from 1 species
CUUGUCCAAAAUGAAGUGAGGAGUUAAAUAUAGCCUGUGGAAACUGUGGAGGCUGAGCAGAAUUCAGAAUCCACUGAAGUUCGAUAACUUCUCGCGCUAUGUUCUGCACAACAUUAGGGCUUCUGAGAUAUGGCUAAAAUUGUCUUCGUGGUCAAAUAUCUGGCAUAAAAAAAAGGAAUGUCGGUCUUCCAUGUGGCAGUCUUCCGCAUGAUAAAUUGAUAGAGCAGCCC